rnacentral:rRNA from 1 species
GCAGCUGAUGCAGCCAUGCCGCGUGAGGGAGAAGGCUUCGGAUUGUAACCUCUUAAUUGGGAGGAAGGAUGCUGAUUAUACCCUGCAGUUUUGACCUGCCAAUACAUACGCCCGGCUAACAUCAUACCAGCAGCCGCGGUAAUACAA